GACGAACCGUGCAAACGUUGUUCGGAAUCACUGGGCUUAAAGGGCGCGUAGGCGGGCUCUCAAGUCGGGGGUGAAAUCGUUCGGCCCAACCGGACAAGGGCUUCCGAUACUGAGAGUCUCGAGGGAGGUAGGGGUCGAGGGAACUGGUGGUGGAGCAGUGAAAUGCGUAGAUAUCACUAGGAACGCCGGUGGCGAAAGCGCUCGACUGGACCUCUUCUGACGCUGAGGCGCGAAAGCCAGGGGAGCAAACGGG
rnacentral:rRNA from 1 species